GGGGCUGAACGGUUUCGACUGCGUAUGUUGCGUAAGGAGAAGCGUGCCGGUGCAGGCUAGAGACCACCGUAAGCGUCGUAGCAACUUAUUAAGCGCCGAUAAUACUCAGCGCGACUUCGCUCUCGCUGCCUAAUAGCGACAGCAAGUCUGUGGACCUAGAGGUGUUCCCGCUCUGGCAAUCCACAUUAUCUAGGGGACUUACCGUUAGUAGCGGCUACGGCUAUUAGCGGAACACCAAACAGUAGCUGGGUUCAUCUUCCGGACUCGUGGGCGUGAUCCGGAGAACCAAGUAAGGAUGCAGUCCACUGCGCACGGAGAAGUCCUCACAAUACUGCGUAGGACCCGGGUUCAAUUCCCGGCAGCUCCACCA
rnacentral:tmRNA from 1 species